UUGCUUGUGUAUAUCUGCCAUUAAUGGAUGUUUCAUACCUUAACACCCUUACUCCACACGUAACCAACUCCAAGUUUAGCAAUUAGCAUCCUGCCUUACUAACUUUGGUCGCCGUCGCCCUCUUUAAUUCCAAAAAGUCCUUGCACCCAGCCACUGGUAUUUCACCAAACAACCUGCAUCUUUCUUCUUUUGAGUUUUCUCCCAAGAACCAUCGUAAAAAAAAUAAAAAACUUGCUUUUAGCACCUUAUCAACUGGGCCGGCUGAGACGAACGGUCUUGCGUUGCUCACCGAUCGCUGUCUCGUGCCCGCCGUGC
rnacentral:lncRNA from 1 species